AGUGAACGCUGGCGGUAGACCUAACACAUGCAAGUCGAACGGCAGCACAGUAAGAGCUUGCUCUUACGGGUGGCGAGUGGCGGACGGGUGAGGAAUACAUCGGAAUCUACUUUUUCGUGGGGGAUAACGUAGGGAAACUUACGCUAAUACCGCAUACGACCUACGGGUGAAAGCAGGGGAUCUUCGGACCUUGCGCGAUUGAAUGAGCCGAUGUCGGAUUAGCUAGUUGGCGGGGUAAAGGCCCACCAAGGCGACGAUCCGUAGCUGGUCUGAGAGGAUGAUCAGCCACACUGGAACUGAGACACGGUCCAGACUCCUACGGGAGGCAGCAGUGGGGAAUAUUGGACAAUGGGCGCAAGCCUGAUCCAGCCAUACCGCGUGGGUGAAGAAGGCCUUCGGGUUGUAAAGCCCUUUUGUUGGGAAAGAAAGGCAGCAGGUUAAUACCCCGCUGUUCUGACGGUACCCAAAGAAUAAGCACCGGCUAACCUCGU
rnacentral:rRNA from 1 species